ACAAGCUGUUGCUUUCUCAUCUGAAGAUCCCCUUACAGAAGGACAACAAAUGACAUGAUUUUGGACUUCAAUGGGAAACUGUGGGAAAUCCCAGACAGCACUCCAACUCCAAUUUUCAGAGGAAAGCCUAGGAUGUCAAGCAGAAGUUUCCUGCACCAUGGGAGCCUCUACUGUGAGACUCCCCAUCAGGCAAUGUCUAGUGGGAAGAGAGCUACAGAAGGAACACUGGAAAGGUAAAGUAGCCAACAAUGUGUUAUUACCACUGAGGAAAUCUGUGAACACAUACAGCUCCAUAUAGCUCUGCAGCAACCCAUAAAGCCAGAGGGGCAGAAUUAUCCAAAUCCUUGCAGGCCCAUUUCUUGCCACCAUAUGGACAAGACACUGGACUUGAAGCUUUAUGAUUUUAAGUCUGCUCUUGACGGAUAUGUCCUUUCUUCCUCCUGUUUCUCUAAGAUAUUAUAUCUGCUUUGUUACUUUUUGCUCUUACAUUAGAUUGAUGUCUCCUUUUUGUUUCCCUCUUUCUUUCUUUUGGAUGAGAAAUGUUUAUCCCAUCC
rnacentral:lncRNA from 1 species